AAAGUCUCGGUCUGGUUUGGAACAGCCGGCCUUUUUCGGAAGAUGGACCACAUUCCCUUCCGUGCGAUGCGCAGAUUGUUAAACUCCUCGUUGAUCUGAAGAAGCGUUUUCCCCUUCGUUUCAGGAAGGACGUAAAACGUGAAGAGCGAAGCCAAAAAGCAGCUUACGACAAAAAGAAUGAAGGAGAAAGGCCCCAGGACCUCCUGUAAAGAGAGGAGCGAAUUAAUGAGAGAUUUCAUCACCAUGCUAGGUGGCAUCAUCAGUGGAGCCUCAGAUGAGCUCGGAAUUUAUACUGUCCGGUCCGUUACGGACAAUGUACGUUCGUGUCAUGAAGAAGAGAUUGAGGAUUGAUCUUGAGAUAAUGGGAACUGCAGAUGCUGGCGAAUCUGAGAUAACGAAGUGUGAAGCUGGAUGAACACAGCAGGCCAAGCAGCAUCUUAGGAGCUGGAAAGCUGACGUUUCGAUUGAUCUUGUUCGGAUGAAGGAAAUGUUAGAAAGAACAGAGAUUUUCAAAAUAGUAUGAGUAGCCGCAAGGUCAGACUGUUCCGCAAAUAUAAAAGUCUUGUUCAAAGAAAUGAUUGAAGAGGGGUGCCUGGCCGCGUGAGGAGCUAUAAGAAUAGAUGGAAUAAAAGUAUUUUUUGUUCAGGUUGUUUUGUGUUGAAACUUUUUUUUAGUUAAAAGAACGGAGAGGUUGUUACCAUAU